UACGGAGGGGGCUAGCGUUGUCCGGAUUUAUUGGGCGUAAAGAGCGUGUAGGCGGCCAGGUAGGUCCGUUGUGAAAACUCGAGGCUCAACCUCGAGACGUCGGCGGAAACCCUCUGGCUAGAGUCCGGAAGAGGAGAGUGGAAUUCCUGGUGUAGCGGUGAAAUGCGCAGAUAUCAGGAAGAACACCCGUGGCGAAGGCGGCUCUCUGGGACGGUACUGACGCUGAGACGCGAAAGCGUGGGGAGCAAACAGG
rnacentral:rRNA from 1 species